rnacentral:rRNA from 1 species
AUACGUAGGUCCCGAACGUUGCGCGAAAUUACUGGGCGUAAAGGGUCCGUAGGCGGUCUGGUAAGUGGAAGGUGAAAGCCUGGGGCUCAACUCCAGAAUUGCCUUCCAAACUGCCGGACUUGAGGCAGGGAGAGGUCGGCGGAAUUCCCGGUGUAGUGGUGAAAUGCGUAGAUAUCGGGAGGAACACCAGUGGCGAAGGCGGCCGACUGGAACUGUCCUGACGCUGAGGGACGAAAGCCAGGGGAGCGAACCGAAUUAGAAACCCCAGUAGUCC